rnacentral:rRNA from 1 species
GGGGAAUUUUCCGCAAUGGGCGAAAGCCUGACGGAGCAAUACCGCGUGAGGGGGGAAGGCUCUUGGGUUGUAAACCUCUUUUCUCAGGGAAUAAGAACUGAAGGUACCUGAGGAAUCAGCAUCGGCUAACUCCGUGCCAGCAGCCGCGGUAAUACGGAGGAUGCAAGCGUUAUCCGGAAUGAUUGGGCGUAAAGCGUCCGCAGGUGGUUUAUCAAGUCUGCUGUCAAAGAGUUUGGCUCAACCAAAUAAAGGCAGUGGAAACUGACAGACUGGAGUGCGGUAAGGGCAGAGGGAAUUCCUGGUGUAGCGGUGAAAUGCGUAUAGAUCAGGAAGAACACCGGUGGCGAAAGCGCUCUGCUGGGCCGUAACUGACACUGAGGGACGAAAGCUAGGGGAGCGAAUGGGAUUAGAUACCCCAGNUAGUC